UACAUGCAUCCCAACACCGACCCUCGGGAAGGUGUGUUHYUACAUAGCCCAMAACCAAUCGUCUCUCCUCGUGGGUGACGUCAACUUGGUGAACUCAGAAUAACUUUGUUCGGAUCGCAUGGCCUUUGUCCCGGCGACGCAUCUHUCAAAUGUCUGCCUUAUCAACUUGUUGCYYCGGUUAAAUGCCAACCAAGGUGUUAACGGGUGACGGAGAAUCAGGGUUCGAUACCSCAGAGGGAGCCUGAGAAACGGCUACCACAUCCAAGGAAGGCAGNAGGCACGCAAAUUACCCACUCCCUGCUCGGGGAGGUAGUGACGAAAAUAACAAUGGAGACCAUCCG
rnacentral:rRNA from 1 species